rnacentral:ncRNA from 4 species
UUCGUAGCCCGGAUGGAGCGAAGCGCAAUCCGGGGCCGCUGCCUGCGACGACGCAGACCUUCCCGGAUUGCGCUGCGCUCCAUCCGGGCUACAGG